rnacentral:pre_miRNA from 1 species
ACAACAACGUUCGGACCGUCGGUCUACCGAGCAAUAUCAUCUGCUCGGUGGAAGAUCUUCCCUUUGUCGUUUAAG